rnacentral:rRNA from 1 species
GAUGAACGCUGGCGGUCUGCUUAACACAUGCAAGUCGAACGGGCACUUUCGGGUGCUAGUGGCGGCCGGGUGGGUAACGCGGUAGAAUCUGCCCUUGGAAGGGGGAUAACGGUUGGAAACGACCGCUAAUACCCCAUGUGCCGAGAGGUAAAAAGUAAUUCGCCAAGGGAGGAGCUGGCGUAGGAUUGGCUAGUUGGUGGGGUAACAGACCACCAAGGCGACGAGCCGUAGGUGGUCUGAGCGGAGGACCAGCCACACAGGGGGGGAGACACGGCGCAGACUACGGGGGGAAGCAGCAGUGGGGAAUGCUCCGCAAUGGGCGGAAGGAUGAAGGAGCAAGACCUCGGGAAUGAAGGCGGUCUGUGGAUUGUCCACCUUUUUUGACAGGGAAGAGGUAGUGACGGUACCUGUCGAAGAAGCCUCGGCUAACUCCGUG